rnacentral:RNase_P_RNA from 1 species
GUGGUAAUAGUAGGUAAUCGCUCGGUAUCUUUGGGUACUGAGAGGAAAGUCCGGACUACAUAGAGCAGGGAGUCCUUUUGAUAAAGAAGGAUACUGCGGACCAUAUUCCGCGGGAAGGAAAGUGCAGCAGAAAAUAUACCGCCUCGUUUUACGAGGUAAGGGUGAAAAGGUGGAGUAAGAGCCCACCGGGCGCGCAGCGAGAGCGGCGUCGCAUUGUAAACCCCUCCUGUAGCAAGACCAAAUAGGGAGCGAGUCGUUGCUCGUGACACUUGAGCUCCGGGUUCUGGUCGCUUAGAUAGAUGAUUACCAUUCCGUUUCGGCGGAAUACAGAAUCCGGCUUAUUCUGUUACCACUUUU